rnacentral:lncRNA from 1 species
UCUAAAGCCUUUUAAUCAACUUUCACUCCUAUUCUAAACUUUACCUCACUCUUUCAUUCUGCCUUAUGUCCCUUGGUUGAAUUUUUUCCUUCUGCAGAGGAAAUAAUUGAGAUUGCUGUAGAUGUGUGCAGAUUCACCACAGAUAGCAAAUAGAUGUUUUCAUCUGCACUUCGGACUUUCCUUCAGGUAAGCUGAGAGGAAAAAUUCUGUCUCAGGUGAAGAAAAAAAAAGUAUUAAAGUAUGUUGAAAAAGACAAACCUGGGCCAAAGGCUCGUAGUAGAUUGAGAUGAGGAUUAAGAAUUGACUAGGCUGGGUGUGGUGGCUCACGCCUGUAAUCCCAGCACUUUGGGAGACCGAGGCGGGCAGAUCACGAGGUCAGGAGAUCGAGACCAUCCUGGAGAACACAGUGAAACCCCU